ACAGCAGCAGCCGCGGUAAUACGAAGGGUGCAAGCGUUAAUCGGAAUUACUGGGCGUAAAGCGUGCGUAGGCGGUGAGUUAAGUCUGCUGUGAAAUCCCCGGGCUCAACCUGGGAAUGGCAGUGGAUACUGGCUCGCUAGAGUGUGUCAGAGGAUGGUGGAAUUCCCGGUGUAGCGGUGAAAUGCGUAGAGAUCGGGAGGAACAUCAGUGGCGAAGGCGGCCAUCUGGGACAACACUGACGCUGAGGCACGAAAGCGUGGGGAGCAAACAGGAUUAGAUACCCCUGUAGUCCCUGUCUCUUAUAA
rnacentral:rRNA from 1 species